rnacentral:rRNA from 1 species
UCCGUAGGUGAACCUGCGGAGGNAUCAUU